GCGCAAUUGGCGUAGCGGUCAACGCGUCCACCAUCUCAUGGUGGAAGACUCAGGUUCGACUCCUGGAUUGCGCA
rnacentral:tRNA from 1 species